GAUCAGCUGUGCGGAGAGAAAGAACUAAGGCAACGUUGUGGGUGCUUCAUAGGCCUCAGUCCGGUAUACGAAGCACUGGCCUACAAACCCGCAGUGAGAUGUGAAGGAAAGCUGCCCUCACAGAAGUUAUGUAUGGAUCGUGUUAGAAAAGAUGUUAUUCAACAGAAAAUCCAGUGCGACUGUCCUCAGUCUUGUCGGGAGAUGAAGUACCAAACGCAGGUGGCUUCCAGCAAGAUAGACGACACCUACUACAGGAUCUUGGGCCAGACGAGGAAAAAAGUUCCCAGCUUGUGCUCAAA